AGGCAACGUCACUAGGCCGGGGCCAGCUGAAAAACUCGGCUUAUACUCGAGUAUAUAUGGUACUUGUUGAGGAUAUUAAAAAUGAAAAUUGGUUGGAAUGAGUAACAAAGCCACUGUCUGUGAAGAUUAGUUCUGAUACAUGGCACCACCACAGUAAAGCUGGCAGAUUGGCUGAGGAGCAUGCAUGGGGCCUCCUGGCUUUCAACAGAAAAAAGGAUCAUGCAAACUGGAUCAAUAACACAGAAGAUAAAACAUUAAAAUCCUUGAAACAAGCUUUUUUUCAGCCAAAGCACGCAAAUUUUUAUAUUUUACAACUUCUUUUACAACUAAGGCAUAGAGCUACGUGUUUUAUUGCACUCAUGAAGUGUGCUUGGUAGCGAUUUCAAGGCUUUUGAUGCACUGGAAAGGGUAGAGACUCCUCAAAGGGGUGGAGAUUGAG